GCUCAGGAUGAACGCUGGCGGCGUGCCUAACACAUGCAAGUCGAACGAGGUAUUUUGAUUGAAGUUUUCGGAUGGAUUUCAAGAUACCGAGUGGCGGACGGGUGAGUAACGCGUGGGUAACCUGCCUCAUACAGGGGGAUAACGGUUAGAAAUGACUGCUAAUACCGCAUAAGCGCACAGUACCGCAUGGUACAGUGUGAAAAACUCCGGUGGUAUGAGAUGGACCCGCGUCUGAUUAGCUAGUUGGUGGGGUAACGGCCCACCAAGGCAACGAUCAGUAGCCGACCUGAGAGGGUGACCGGCCACAUUGGGACUGAGACACGGCCCAGACUCCUACGGGAGGCAGCAGUA
rnacentral:rRNA from 1 species